UCAAGAUGAGACUAUUGGUGGAAAAGCUCAGAGAACAUGAUGGGAGCUAUAAGAGAAACAUGGAUCCUCUCUCCUGCAUAGUGGAGGCAUAAAGCUGCUUGGAAAAGAAUUUUAAUUAAAGGGGACUAGAACAGAGAGGAAUAAAAGGGUCUCAUGUCCAAGCUUCCAGAUCCAAGGAGAAACUCCCUCUACACCACAUGGAGGUACUUGCUGUUCUGGAGAGCUGUGGAACAAUUAAUGGUCUUGAAUUGAGAUCUGAGAACUUCAAGGCAAGUUCCUGUCUAUACUGACUGUCCUAAGCAAGGCAGCAAGGCACGUCAGCUGGACCUGGCCAGUGCAGCCGGCAGGUGCGCCAGCAAGGGGAGGAUGGUCAGGAACAGGGCCCAUCACCCACUCCGCAGGGAAGGGGUGGCUCCGUGCAGGAUGCAUGGCUUUCUGUACAGGUUGUA